rnacentral:rRNA from 1 species
GAUGAACGCUGGCGGCGUGCUUAACACAUGCAAGUCGAACGGAAAGGCCCAAGCUUGCUUGGGUACUCGAGUGGCGAACGGGUGAGUAACACGUGGGUGAUCUGCCCUGCACUUCGGGAUAAGCCUGGGAAACUGGGUCUAAUACCGGAUAGGACGAUGGUUUGGAUGCCAUUGUGGAAAGUUUUUUCGGUGUGGGAUGGGGUCGAGGCCUCGCAGCUUGUGGUUGGGGGAAGGGCCUACCAAGGCGUCGGCGGGUAGCCGGCGCGGGGGGGUGUACGGCAACAGUGGGACUGAGAGACGGCCCCGGCACCGACGGGGGGGAGAGGUGGGGAAGAGUGCAAAAGGGGCACAAGCCGGAGGCUGCGACGCCGCGGGGGGGAGGACGGUCUUCGGGUUAGAGUCUCCUUGCGCUAGGGACGAAGCUGUUAGUGACGGUACCUGGAGAAGAAGCACCGGCUAACUACGUG